ensembl:miRNA
ACCAUCCUGUCGGAUAGCUUAUCAGACUGAUGUUGACUGUUGGAUCUCAUGGCAACAACAGUCGGUAGGCUGUCUGACAUUUUGGUAUCUCUCA